UAGUCCACACCGUAAACGAUGAAUGCCAGACGUCGGGGGGCUUGCCCUUCGGUGUCACACCUAACGGAUUAAGCAUUCCGCCUGGGGAGUACGGUCGCAAGAUUAAAACUCAAAGGAAUUGACGGGAACCCGCACAAGCGGUGGAGCAUGUGGUUUAAUUCGAUGCAACGCGAAGAACCUUACCAGGUCUUGACAUACUCAUUGUACGACGUAGAGAUACGUUGGUCAGUUCGGCUGGAUGAGAUACAGGUGCUGCAUGGCUGUCGUCAGCUCGUGUCGUGAGAUGUUGGGUUAAGUCCCGCAACGAGCGCAACCCUCGCCGUUAGUUGCCAGCACUUCGGGUGGAACUCUAACGGGACUGCCAGUGAAAGCAGGAGGAAGGCGAGGAUGACGUCUAGUCAGCAUGGUCCUUACGAUCUGGGCUACACACGUGCUACAAUGGCAGGUACAAAGCGCAGCCACUUCGCGAGAAGGAGCUAAUCGCAUAAAG
rnacentral:rRNA from 1 species